UUUCUUGUGACCCAGUUGGUAGAGCAUUGUGCCAACAGUGCAAGGGUUGUGGGUUCAAAUCCCAGAGAUAAAC